GCGGAUAUAGUGCAUGGUGCACGAUUGCUCUCAGUUGUCGAAUGGCAACCAAGAAUCAUGUUGACGCAAUUGAAUGGGGUUCGAUUCCCCGUAUCCGCA